CGCGGCCUAUCAGCUUGUUGGUGGGGUGAUGGCCUACCAAGGCGACGACGGGUAGCCGGCCUGAGAGGGUGUCCGGCCACACUGGGACUGAGAUACGGCCCAGACUCCUACGGGAGGCAGCAGUGGGGAAUAUUGCACAAUGGGCGCAAGCCUGAUGCAGCGACGCCGCGUGGGGGAUGACGGCCAUCGGGUUGUAAACCUCUUUCAGCAGGGACGAAGGGUGACUGACGGUACCUGUAGAAGAAGCACCGGCCAACUACGUGCCAGCAGCCGCGGUAAUACGUAGGGUGCGAGCGUUGUCCGGAAUUACUGGGCGUAAAGAGCUUGUAGGCGGUUUGUCGCGUCUGCGGUGAAAACCCGGGGCUUAACCUUGGGCGUGCCGUGGGUACGGGCAGGCUAGAGUGUGGUAGGGGAGACUGGAAUUCCUGGUGUAGCGGUGAAAUGCGCAGAUAUCAGGAGGAACACCGAUGGCGAAGGCAGGUCUCUGGGCCAUAACUGACGCUGAGAAGCGAAAGCAUGGGGAGCGAACAGGAUUAGAUACCCUGGUAGUCCAUGCCGUAAACGUUGGGCGCUAGGUGUGGGGCUCAUUCCACGAGUUCUGUGCCGCAGCUAACGCAUUAAGCGCCCCGCCUGGGGAGUACGGA
rnacentral:rRNA from 1 species